AAAGGGGGGUGCGGAGCUACCAUGCAAGUCGUACGAGAAGGUUCCUUCGGGAACUGGAGAGUGGCGCACGGGUGAGUAACGCGUGGGGACCUACCUCUUAGUGGGGGAUAACGGUUGGAAACGACCGCUAAUACCGCAUACGCCCUUCGGGGGAAAGAUUUAUCGCUAAGAGAUGGACCCGCGUUGGAUUAGAUAGUUGGUGAGGUAACGGCUCACCAAGUCAGCGAUCCAUAGCUGGUUUGAGAGGAUGAUCAGCCACACUGGGACUGAGACACGGCCCAGACUCCUACGGGAGGCAGCAGUGGGGAAUAUUGGACAAUGGGCGCAAGCCUGAUCCAGCCAUGCCGCGUGAGUGAAGAAGGCCUUCGGGUUGUAAAGCUCUUUCAGAUGCGAAGAUGAUGACGGUAACAUCAGAAGAAGCCCCGGCUAAUUUCGUGCCAGCAGCCGCGGUAAUACGAAAGGGGCAAGCGUUGUUCGGAUUUACUGGGCGUAAAGGGCACGCAGGCGGUCCUGCCAG
rnacentral:rRNA from 1 species